rnacentral:rRNA from 1 species
UACGUAGGGUCCGAGCGUUGUCCGGAAUUAUUGGGCGUAAAGGGCUCGUAGGCGGUUUGUCACGUCGGAAGUGAAAUCUUACAGCUUAACUGUGAACUUGCUUUCGAUACGGGCAGACUUGAGGCAUUCAGGGGAGAACGGAAUUCCUGGUGUAGCGGUGAAAUGCGCAGAUAUCAGGAGGAACACCGGUGGCGAAGGCGGGUCUCUGGGCCGAGUGACUGACGCUGGAGGAGCGAAAGCGUGGGAGCGAACAGG